UUCGCCCUUUUCCGGUUGAUCCUGCCGGAAGUUACUGCUAUCGGUGUUCGACUAAGCCAUGCGAGUCAAAUGUUCUUCGUGAACAUGGCGGACUGCUCAGUAACACGUGGAUAACCUGCCCUUAGGUUCGGCAUAACUCCGGGAAACUGGAGAUAAUUCCGAAUAGGUCAAAUAUGCUGGAAUGCUUUUUGGCCAAAAGACCUCGGUUGCCUAAGGAUGGAUCUGCGGUCUAUCAGGUUGUAGUGGGUGUAACGUACCUACUAGCCUACGACGGAUAUGGGUUGUGAGAGCAAGAGCCCAGAGAUGGAUUCUGAGACAUGAAUCCAGGCCCUACGGGGCGCAGCAGGCGCGAAAACUUUACAAUGCGGGAAACCGCGAUAAGGGGACACCGAGUGCCAGCAUUUAUGUUGGCUGUCCACAUGUGUAAACGGCAUGUGUUAGCAAGGGCCGGGCAAGACCGGUGCCAGCCGCCGCGGUAACACCGGCGGCCCGAGUGGUAAUCACUUUUAUUGGGUCUAAAGGGUCCGUAGCCGGCUCGAUCAGUUCUUCGGGAAAUCUGGCAGCUCAACUGUUAGGCUUCCGGGGAAUACUGUCAGACUUGGGACCGGGAGAGGUAAGAGGUACUACAGGGGUAGGAGUGAAAUCUUGUAAUCCCUGUGGGACCACCAGUGGCGAAGGCAUCUUACCAGAACGGGUCCGACGGUGAGGGACGAAAGCUGGGGGCACGAACCGGAUUAGAUACCCGGGUAGUCCCAGCC
rnacentral:rRNA from 1 species